GCUCUUCGACUGCAUUAAAUGCAACGACACGCAUCGCAUGCUGAGCGGUCGGGUCUCUGCGACUGCACCUACUCGUCACUCCCAAGGGGGUAAACUGUCAUAUCAACGAGCAUCUUGAGAACAUCCUACCCAAGAUGGGUCGUUUGAUGGCACUCGAGUACUUGGGCUUUAAAUCUGGCAGUUAGUUUCUAAUUUUGAAAACUUAGCUAUAUCUAUUUUUCGCCUCCAUUCAAAAUUUUCGCCUUCUCAGUUACAGAUCCUAUUCUAUAUCUGAGUUCAUCAUCCUCCCGCCUAUUGUCAGGUCUGGAGUCGAUCAGCCACCCCAACAACAUGGCAAAGAUAUUUGAAGUUGAUGGAUGUCAUUAUAUCCGCGCGAGAACCACCUACCAGACAAAUCGACGAUUCCUAGCACACGUCUUGUGACUCUGAACUCGAAGAGUUACAAUCAUACGGGUAUCAUUCUUUCGAUGUUGGCUUCCUGUCAUUGAGCCAGAAGAAUUAGUAACU